GGGGGCGAAAUGGGUUCGACAGUGAUAGUCCGCUUCCUGGGUCGCAUGCCGAGGUCCCCGACCACUCGUUAAACGGAUGGGAAAAAAUGUAAUUGCAGACAAUCAUCUAGCAAUGGCUGCCUAACAAGGUUGCCCGGUCUUCUCCGCCGGCCUGCGGGCGGGGAAAGACCGCCGAUUAGCAGGAUAGCGGCGGCGGAGCGCCUGGCCCGUCGAUGCGAAAAUUAACAGGCUGGCGGCAUGCGGAUCCUUCUCACGGGAGCCGCAUGCCGCGAGAACAAAGCAUGAGAUAAGCAUGUAGACGCUCAUGAGGUGGUAUCUCUGGACGGGGGUUCGAUUCCCCCCGCCUCCACCG
rnacentral:tmRNA from 1 species